rnacentral:tRNA from 1 species
UGGGGUGUAGUUCAGUGGCAGAACAUCUGGCUGUUAACCAGAAUGUCGGAGGUUCGAAUCCUCCUGCCCCAGCAA